AAUCAAAAUCAUAAUAAAGCUAAAAUAAUGAAGAAAAAUGCAGAGAAGGUAAAACAGGCAGAAAAAUGACUAACAUAAAGGUGUGAAUAACUUGUGCUAGCUUGUUAAGUGUGACCUUUGGUAUCACUAUGAGAAAGUUCUGCUCUGUCCCUGGCAGUGCACUUGGUAGUUGCCACCCUGCAACCUGGCUGCAGCUUGGACUAACAGCAGGGCAGAGGGCAAUGACUAAGCCUGACAAUUGCUUGGAUAGUGAGACAGCACUGUGUAAUGAAUAUUUUAUUCCUAUAAUAUUACUAUUUUCUAUGAAUUAGACAAUUUGGAUUUUUAAUCUAUUAAAACGUUAGCUAUGUUAGCAGUAAAUUUUGAAUGUUUUUGAUGUGUUCCCUUUUGCCCUUAACAAAGUUUUCAAUGUGACAUUAAGUAAAUGGAAACUCACCUUAGGUUACAGAGGCAUACAAGGAAAAAGUACCAAACUAUCUCAAAGUGGUAGCACAGCUUCUUUUUGGAGAAUUGCCAGCCAUUUAUUGAAAGCAAAAAAUGUACUGCUUUUGCAACUCAUUCUACUGUUUCUGAGCUCUUACAUUAUAUUACUCUGCAUAAUACAAUAGAAACUCAUCUCAGUUGGCUUUCAGGUACUACCUAAUGAAAAAAUGUCAGUAACAUAAAUAACUGAUAGCAUCCUCAAAAAUACAGUUGAUAUUGACACACAGAUUUCAUACUUGGUUCAUAUUGAUUGUCUUUUAGUUUUGUACAGGAUUUUCUAUGUUUGGUAUUGCUUCUAAAGCUGCAUCUGCUAGAUUUGUAGGACUGGAGGGGAAGGUCACCUUUAUACAUAAAAAGUACAUUUCUGUCUCUAGUGGUUGCAGGAAAAAAAGCUGAAAAACACGACCCAUGGCCAUCCUACAGGGUACAGGCUACCAUUAGUAUUUAGAGACCCCCAGUUGCAGUAUUUCAGAGGCACACUUACAACAUUGUGAUGACCAUCUACAAUCCGUUAGUGCAAACAAGAUUAUGGACAGAGAACUCAUGCCUCUUAAAUGUGUUUUCUGAGCAUGAGGGACACCCAUGGUGGAAUGACUCAUAUCUGCCUGGAGAUGCAUAUACGAUUAACUACGUGGAGUGUUCCAUAUAUCCUCUCAAACAGAUCAAAGAGAGGAUUGAUUUAGGUACAAGUGGCCCAGAGGGAAGAAACAGCUGAGGUGUAGUACCUCUUUGAAGAAAUAUCACAGACAACAGAAUUAACAUGGGCAACAAGACACGAUUUUUCACUUGUUUCAUUAACAUUGCAGAUAAAAAUAACUAUGCAAUUUUGAUUUUCAGCUCUCAAUCUGAAUUGUUACUGCAGUAUGGAUGGUAUAAAGAAGAUAAAUCAGGUGACCUUGUUCUUCGUCGUAUAAUGGUCAAAAACACACUGUUUAAGCAAAUAAAUACUCAAGUUAAUUGCAUUUUGAAAUUAAUUGUACCAUGUAAGCUAAAGAGAUUGGUAUAAAGCACGCAUAUUAAUUUUGAGAUUCUCUUAAGUCACAUUUGUUUAGCAGACAGGUUUUUUUCACACAGGAUGUGUCCAUUUGCUGCACUAUCUCAAACAAAGAACAACAUCUGAAUUUUUUAGAAGGAAAUAUAAACUCAAUAGGGAACAUUUAUUCCUUUACAAAGUGAUUUGGUUGACUCAUGCCCUGAAGAAUGAUGGCUUGUAUUAGAUAACAGUAAUUAGUUAUAGCAAGUCAUUGUCUUUUAAAAAGAAAUAUCAUUUCUUGCAAGACAGAAACAUCCAAUAAAUAACCAAUCUGAGAGUGGACCUUAAAACAAAUCAAGGUCAAAUCAUGUUAUACGUUUAGAAAACUUAGUUUAUGGAAUACAAGUAAAAGAUUCUAUUUUUUUCUCUUAAAUGAAAAUGUGUAUCAGACAGUAAUGUAGUUCUUGACACAUAAAACUUGGCACCCACAUAAGGAAUGUAUGUCACAGACAGAUUGGAUGUUCCAUUGUACUGCCACUCCCAUUCCACUGGUUGCAGCAUUCAAUUUUUAUGUUCAAAUGUCAUUAUGAAACAGCUAUUUGUUUUGAGAAAUUACUAACGAUGGGCGUAU